rfam:Streptomyces sp. CMAA 1322 contig18, whole genome shotgun sequence.
GCGGGCGUAGUUUAAUGGUAGAACAUGAGCUUCCCAAGCUCAGAGCGCGAGUUCGAUUCUCGUCGCCCGCU